UUGCUUCAGAAGCACAUGUACUAAAAUUGGAAUAUACAGAGAAAAUUAGCAUGACCCCUGUGCAAGGAUGACCUGCAAAUUUGUGAAGCAUUGAAUAUUCAA